rnacentral:rRNA from 1 species
GAUGAACGCUGGCGGCGUGCCUAACACAUGCAAGUCGAGCGAAUGGAUUAAGAGCUUGCUCUUAUGAAGUUAGCGGCGGACGGGUGAGUAACACGUGGGUAACCUGCCCAUAAGACUGGGAUAACUCCGGGAAACCGGGGCUAAUACCGGAUAAUAUUUUGAACUGCAUGGUUCAAAAUUGAAAGGCGGCUUCGGCUGUCACUUAUGGAUGGACCCGCGUCGCAUUAGCUAGUUGGUGAGGUAACGGCUCACCAAGGCAACGAUGCGUAGCCGACCUGAGAGGGUGAUCGGCCACACUGGGACUGAGACACGGCCCAGACUCCUACGGGAGGCAGCAGUAGGGAAUCUUCCGCAAUGGACGAAAGUCUGACGGAGCAACGCCGCGUGAGUGAUGAAGGCUUUCGGGUCGUAAAACUCCGUCGUUAGGGAAGAACAAGUGCUAGUUGAAUAAGCUGGCACCUUGACGGUACCUAACCAGAAAGCCACGGCUAACUACGUGCCAGCAGCCGCAGUAA